CACGUAGGGCGCAAGCGUUGUCCGGAAUUAUUGGGGCGUAAAGAGCUCGUAGGCGGUCUGUUGCGUCCGGCUGUGAAAACUCGGGGCUUAACCCCGAGCCUGCAGUGGAUACGGGCAGACUAGAGGUAGGUAGGGAGAAUGGAAUUCCCGGUGUAGCGGUGAAAUGCGCAGAUAUCGGGAGGAACGACCGGUGGCGAAGGCGGUUCGCUGGGCCUUACCUGACGCUGAGGAGC
rnacentral:rRNA from 1 species